UGCGUUUUACCAAGCCCGAUGUGAAUCAAACCUCCAAGAACGUCCACACAAGCGCCUAGCUUCAACGUGUCGAUUGGGCAAGUCUCUGGCUUAGGUGGAGUUGGUGUUGGCGGUGUUACGACCGGUGGGCUUGGUGUUGGUGGCGUAACAACAGGUGGCGGUGGGCACGGUGAUGGCGGUGGCGGUGGGCACGGUGAUGGCGGCGUUACGACGGGUGGAGGCGUAUGAGUGGGUGGUUUAGGGGUGGACGGAGGUGGUUUAACAGUGGGCGGUUUCGUGGGUGGUUUCGGGGUAGACGGAGGAGGUUUAACGGUGGGCGGUUUCGUGGGUGGUUUCGGGGUGGACGGAGGUGGUUUAACGGUGGGCGGUUUCGUGGGUGGUUUCGGGGUGGGAUGAGGUUUGGUAGGGGGUUUCGGAUGUGGGUGUGGUUUGACAGUGGGCGGUUUGGUAGGGGGUUUAGGGUGUGGGUGUGGUUUGACGGUGGGUGGUUUGGGAGGUUUUACUGCCGGUGGUUUAGGCGGUUUGCUAGGAUGUUUAGGCGGUUUGUGGGGGUGAGGUGAUGGUUUAGGAGGGCUACAGUCGCAAGCGAAGGAGACGGCAAGAAAGCCAAGGAAGAGGAAGAUAAGAAAAGAGAGGUUUUGUGUACGAGACCCCAUUUUUCUAGA
rnacentral:lncRNA from 1 species